UUGAGAAAAUUUAUUUGGGAGAUCAGAAACUGAUCAAAGUGGUGUUAGGCCAUGCAAAGACCUGGCAAAGAUACACAGCCCAGACAGAAUGGUGUGGAGUUUGGCCUGUUCGCACAUAGGACAGGGGCUUUCAGUAAAAGUACUAUACCAACAGCGCCAACAACGGUGGGGAUAUUGUCAAGGAUCGAUCUGAACUGCCUAUAUGUAUAGUGGACACAUCGACAGACUCUGUGGGGUGGAUCGAGGAUUUUUCUGAGGAGGAGGUCCAGCCAUGGACAGCAUGCUAGAUAAGAGGGUCAAUUAAACACUAUGUGAAGACAGAAAUUGAGGACAUCCUGGUUUCAACUACCCGCCUCCUUCGUUGUGCUCAGGCUUCUUCAACUAUACAACAUUCUAAAAAGCUGGAUAGGAUCUGCAGCCGGCUUGUCUGCAGAAUUGCAUUGUGCCUGUGAUAAGGUGUCAGCCGUUGCGAGAAGUUUGCCGGCAACAUGCUUGACGUCAAACUGAUAGCAUUUCCAAAUCCUUAGACCUAAGAAGUGGUAUUUUGUUUCAACCAAGAAAGAAAGUCCUCGUAGAUACAAGCGUUGGAUGGCCCAGACGAUUGCUAGGCUUCUGGUUGCCUCUGAAGCAAAACAGAACCAAGACACUAUAAUGGGGUAUUCUGGGUGCUAUUUGGCCAUACAAGUGACCGAGCUGGUCUGGUCCCCACAUGAAGGUAGUGUUCUUGCAUAGAAGGAAACAGAUUGGAGCGGUGAUGGUCGACAAGUCUGGAAGCAUGCCUAACAAAUUCCGCUCACAUCCUAUGGUGGUGGCCUUCAUCUUCUCAGGCAUUAUCCCAGUGCUGCUGACGACAACCCCGAGAAACACUGCACUGAGGGCACGCUAAACUUGCAUUUGUUCAAGUUCAAUUUGACGCCUGCGUCGUUCAUUCUCUGGAUGACACUCUUCAGACAUCGUCGAUCAUGCACACGACUCUUGGAAGUCCUUCGACGAUUCGUGACGUAGGCUGCUGAAAAAAUAUAGGGGCUAAAGCUAUCCCGAAAGGAAGACACUGAUAACAAUAGCGUCCAAACGGCAUAUCGAAUGUUGUCAGUUCUUCGCUUUCAGGUGCCAGUUUAACUUGGUGGAAACUUAGCGUAGUGUUGAGUUUCGAGAAGACCUUCGCACCACUCAGUUGUCCCAAAAUUUGUUCCACGGUUGGGAGCGUGUACCUCUCACGCUGCACCGCCUUGUUUAGUUGGGUCGACGCACAAACGGUAACCUCCCGUUUUCUUCGGAACCACGACUAUCCCAGAACACCAUUCAGUCGGAUUGUCGACUUUCCUGAUGACUCCCUGCUGCACCAAGUUGAGGAGUUCUUGCUUCACGGUAUUGAAUAGUGGCAAGGGCAAACGUCGCGAAGUACUCAAACAGAAUGGCUGUGCGUCAGGACGUAGUCUGAUGCAAUACUGUUCUUGCAGCUCACCUAGACCCUUGAAUAGGCUAUCUUCCGGUGUGAGUCCGUGAGCUGUCGUCGUCGAUGUUGCGCCAACAAAUUGUACGACGCCAAUACUUUCGAUCGCCGUAAAUCCCAGCAGUGGCGUUAGUUGAUUUUGCAGCAUGUAGAGAGUUUCUGUAACAGAGCGACCCCUCCAAGAUAACGUUCCUUUCACGUUGAAGAAGUAGCUACCGACUGCUGGGAGUUCACUUUUCGGCAUGUCGAGGAUGCGACCUCGGCACCACUGUAUCCAUUCACGUCGACAUCGAUGAACUAUGCUUUACGGGUGCUGAGUGUAGAUAACUCGACAGAGUCCGACUUGUAUCCUCGGCAAAAUGUCCCUGUUUGUUACAAAAGUCACACGUUGCUUUGUGUGCAGGACAAUCGUUUCGCUAAUGCCCGUCCACACAACGCACACGAAGCAUGCACUUCAGUUGAGCUAGAGUGCAAUGAGUGCAGGUAAUGUUUCCCCGACGUCAGUGCCCAAUUUCUUCGAUGAUCCUCCUCUUUCCUUCUUUAUACCUCUGUCAGAGUGCAGUCUUGAUAUUUACUCAUAGUCCAGCAGACAGUGCAAUGAUAUUGGCACCCCACCUAAACACAACUCAUUGUGUUUAGCUUUGAUGUUGUCCAUUUGGCAGUUGU